rnacentral:rRNA from 1 species
UGGCGGCGGGUGAGUAAUGUCUGGGAAACUGCCUGAUGGAGGGGGAUAACUACUGGAAACGGUAGCUAAUACCGCAUAACGUCGCAAGACCAAAGAGGGGGACCUUCGGGCCUCUUGCCAUCGGAUGUGCCCAGAUGGGAUUAGCUAGUAGGUGGGGUAACGGCUCACCUAGGCGACGAUCCCUAGCUGGUCUGAGAGGAUGACCAGCCACACUGGAACUGAGACACGGUCCAG